UGCGUAGGCGGACUAAUAAGUCAGUGGUGAAAUCUUUCGGCUCAACCGGGAAACUGCCAUCGAUACUGUUAGUCUUGAGUUCGGUUGAGGUAGGCGGAAUGUGUAAUGUAGCGGUGAAAUGCUUAGAUAUUACACAGAACACCAAUUGCGUAGGCAGCUUACUAGACCGACACUGACGCUGAGGCACGAAAGCGUGGGGAGCGAACAGGAUUAGAUACCCUGGUAGUCC
rnacentral:rRNA from 1 species